GCCGAAAUAGCUCGUUGGGAGAGCGUUAGACUGAAGUUUCUAAAGGCCCCUGGUUCAAUCCCGGUUUGGGCA